rnacentral:sRNA from 1 species
UCGACCAUUGAGCACAUAGACCCACGCA